CUCAUUUUCAGUUCUUUUAAGAAGUAUCUGCUUAGUUCAUUUCAUCGUUUAUUGAAUGGUUUGCUUUUUGGUGUUGCAUUUUUUUUAGUUCUUGUUAUAUUCUGAAUAUUAAUCUUCUUACAGAAGAGUAGCUGGCCAAGUUUUUCUACCAUUCUGUAGACUUUCUCUUCACUCCAGUAAUUGUUUCCUUUUCUGGAAAGCAAAAAAGCUUUUUAAUUUGAUGCCAUCCAUUUACUGAUUCUUGGUAUGAUUUUCUGAGCUGUAGAAGUCCUAUUCAGCACAUUGUUGCCUGUGCCAACAUGUUGGAGAGUUUUCCCUGUUUUCUUCUAGCAGUUGCAAGCUUUGAUCUUAUACCUAGGUCUCUGAUCCAUUUCAAGUUGACUUUGGUACCAUGUGAGAGGUAGGGACCCAGGUUCAUUCUUUUACCUAUGGAUAUUCCGUUUUUCCAGCACCAUUUGUUAGAGAGGCUGGCUUUUCUCCAAGGUAUGUAUUUAGCCCCAUUUGUUAAGAAUCAGAUGAUUGUAGCUGUGUGGGUUUGUCUCUCACCUGCUAUUCUGUUCCAUUUGUCUCUCUGCUGUCCUUAUGCUAGUACCAUGAUGUUUUUGUUUCUGUAGCAUAAUUUGAAGUUGGGUAUUGUGAUAGCUCUAGCAUUCCUCUUAUUGUUAAGGAUUGCUUUGGCUAUUCUGAGCUUUUUGUUCUUCUGUAUGAAUUUCAGGAUUUCCUCCUAGUUCUGUGAAGAAGGUCCUGGUAUGUUGAUGGUAACUACAAUGCUUCUAGAUCUUUUAGUAAUAUGGUCAUUUUAAUAAAAUUAAUUUUGCCUGUCGAUGGACAUGAGAAGUCUUUCCAUCUUUUAAUUUCUUCUUCUUCCUCCUCCUUCUCCUGUCCUCCUCCUCCUCCUCCUCCUCCCUCCUCCUCCUUCUUCUUCUUCUUGAUGCAGAGUAACCAGUGAUUGAACCCAGCCACAUACCCAGCCCUUUUUAAUUUUUUAUUUUGAGACAGGGUCUUGCUAAGUUGUUCAAGGCCUAGCUAAGUUGCUGAGGCUGGCUUUGAACUUGUGAUUCUCCUGUCUCAGCCUCCCAAGUCACUGGGAUUACAGGCGUGCACCACCACACCUGGCUUUCAGUGUUCUGUAAUUUUUCUCAGAGAGGUCUUUCACCUCCUUGGUUAGAUUUAUUCCUAAGUAUUUUUAAAAGCUAUUGUGAAUGAAAUUGUUUUCCUGAUUUCUUCUCAAUGGGUUCUUACUGGGGUAUAGAAAAACUAUUGAUUUUUGUGUUGAUUUUUAUAUAUAAACACUGGUUUAAAAAAUAUCAUAGGUCCAGGCUGUUCAAAUAUCACAAAAUAAGGUCUAUUUUGUAGCAUCGUUCUUCCUUGAAGAGUUAAAGUGAAGUGACCUAAAUAGUCAAUUUUCCACACUAAGUUAUUUGUUCUUAGAAAUUUGCCCCCCUACUGUGAUGUUUCUAUUUCCUGGUUUACUAAUAAAACAUUUGAACUUUGAAAUAGAUUAGUGUGUUUGAUUUUUAUACUUGUCAGGCUGGGUUAACAAGGUCUGGACAUAUCUCAAUUAUGUUGGUUAACAAUGAACUCAGCCUGGAAAAGUCAAUUCUCUGAUCAUUCCCAAAUUACCCAGAGCCUAAUUUAGUCAA
rnacentral:lncRNA from 1 species